GAUUUUGCUCAAUAAAUAUAUUCUCUCUAUCUGUCUCUGUUUCUCUCUCACUUUAACCCUCACCUUCUAUAAGCUUCUCUCAGCUUCUUCUCAUUUCAGUGCUUCGGGCGAAGAAAAAUGGCUAGACGGUCUAGUCGCACAAUUUAUGUUGGCAAUCUUCCUGGCGAUGUUCGCUUGAGGGAAGUAGAGGAUCUUUUCUACAAGUUUGGUCCUAUUGUUGACAUUGAUCUGAAGAUUCCUCCGAGACCACCAGGUUAUGCCUUUGUGGAGUUUGAGGAUAUCCGUGAUGCUGAAGAUGCCAUUUACUAUAGAGAUGGUUACAACUUUGACGGUUUUCGCUUACGGGUUGAACUUGCACAUGGUGGACGGGGUCAUACAUCAUCAGUAGACCGCUAUAGUAGCUAUAGUGGUAGUAGCAGUAGCCGCGGAGUUUCCAGGCGUUCCGAUUAUCGUGUUCUUGUCACAGGAUUACCCCCUUCUGCUUCAUGGCAAGACCUGAAAGAUCAUAUGCGAAGAGCUGGUGAUGUGUGUUUUUCUCAAGUCUUCCGUGAGCGUGGUGGUAUGACUGGGAUAGUGGAUUAUACAAAUUAUGAUGACAUGAAAUAUGCUAUAAGGAAGCUUGAUGACUCGGAAUUCAGAAAUGCCUUUUCUCGGUCAUACAUACGGGUCAGGGAAUAUGAUCGCCGGAGUUAUUCUAGAAGCCCCAGUCGUGAUUCAAGGAGGAGCUAUUCGAGAAGCCUCAGCCGCAGUCCAUAUGUGUCGCGAAGUCGAAGCUAUAGUCGAAGUCCUAGCUAUAGUGACAGGAGCAGAAGUUGGUCUCCAAAACCAAAGCAUUCUCGGCGUUCGUUAUCUCGCUCAAGAGGAUCAAAAUCUCCUACUUUUGUUCCCGUUGACUAAAUUCUCUGGAUCUGUUACUGCUGGUGAAUCUGUUGGGAGAUAUCCAAAUAAUAAGACAGGUGGAGUGGCAGACACCAUAUUCUGCAUACUCCAGAUAUCAUGCACUAUCAGGAAUGUAAAAUUGCUUCUGGUUAAUUAUGUGAUAUUUAUUAAUGCUUUUCAUCCAAGAUUGUUUUCCCCUAAAAUUUUGUAUAUGUUAUUGUUGAUUCAUGUUUAAAUACAUCUUUAUUCAUGUAAAACAAGUGAACUAGUGCCAACUUUUUGCCAAAGCCAGUAAUGCCAGCAAUCUCCACUAUGUUGGACAAGCAAAACCCCAGUCAAGCUUUUAGAUUAGGUGCACAUUAUCUCUAUUGUCUGUUAGUAGAUGUGAAAGCCUUGUUGAUACAAGCAAAGAGUUUUGUCAUAUUGUCUUCAAGUUCUCACUUAUAGCCGACCCCACUUAGUGGGAUAAGGCUUUGUUGUUGUUGUUGUUGUUGUUUUGUCUUCAAGUUCUCACUUAGAUUACUGUGUUUGGAGUAGCAGAGAUAGUGGAUUAUAAUUAUCAAGUAAUCAGUUUACCUGGAGCAGCUUGUGUGGUGAUUUGGUAAUACCAACCUAUUUUGAGGCCCAGAUGAUAGAGAAAUUAUUGUUGUUAGUCAAUUGAGUGACAAUGAUAACUGUUGGCUGAUUUCAAGUAGGGUUUGUUUACCUCAUUAAUUAUUUUUUAGCCCAAAAUGUACUCUGCAAUUUUUAGGAGUUUCUCGUCGCUUCUUACACCUCUUUAUAUAGAUGAUUUUGGUGUAAUAGUUUGAUUCAUUAGACAAGGUUCUUGAUUAUGUGGAAUUUGUGCUAUUUGACUUUUCAAAUGCGUUGUGUCCAGAAUUCUAGGUGGAGAUGGAAACUCUUUUAAGCCUCUGCUGUUAUAUGGAUAUGACAUCAUCCCUUUAUUUCACAUUUAAUUAAGGCCUUCAAUUUUCAAUGACCUUGAGAGAUGUCAUUCAUUUUAUUUCAUGGAUGGUUUGCACGUUUAUGUUGCGUUUCUAGAAAUUCCUAUUUGUGUCUCAAAAGUCAAACUGAAUGCAUGUUUCUGUUUCCCUAUUUUUGCAACUUAAAGGGAGUGUCUUCUUUCCUUGAAGUUUUCUUGUGUUUUCAAAGAAAACUUUUUGGUAUGUUCUGUCUACUUUGCUGUUCUCACAAAGCCAAAUUUUGUGUUUACUUUGUUGUUCUCAUAUAGCGAAUUGCUGUGCGCUAGAAGUAUCAGCAAUUAAGCAUAAUUCCUCAUACGUGGAAAGGUGGAUGGGGCAUUGGUAAAGUGGAUUGUCAGCUUUUGCCAAUAAUUUACUCGAUGUUCAUUAGGCUUGGCUCUUGUUUUCUAGAUGUGGCCUUUUCUGGUGACCUGGGAACUUCGUGUUAGGACCUGAGGGUAUGUGGUGCUCAAAACGCCUGCAACUUUUGGUCCAAGGUAAUAUUGUUUAAUUGAUGAGCACCUGUGAAACACCUUAAUGCUGCGACUAACGGUAACAGUGAUGAUAUAUUGAUUUAAGGCACAGUCUGCAAUUGUUGGCUGGAUGCCUAUAGAUGGAUGAGUUGCAAUCUAAAAGGUGGAUUACCAUGAACUAAGUGCUAUUGUUACCGACCAUUUCAAACCAGCAGAGUUACAAUUCGUAAAUUACAACAUAGUCUCUGGUUUAAGUUCUGGGGUCAGCCAUAUUCAUCUGCUAGGUUUCCUUUUAUUGUCCUGUGUUGGGUUUGUUUUGGUUAAAAUGUUGGGUAUAAUUGGUUGAAGGUAUCGUGCUGCUGACAAUAGAUUGUUUGGCAAUUGUUGAGACUAUAGACGUGCGAUGAAUUGGGUUCUUAUUCACUUGGAUCCCGCGCAAGAUUUGUGGUAGAUUGAUUUCUUCCUUGUGGUUUGGUAACCUUGAUGUGGAAUAUUGCUCUCGUGGAUGGAACUUCUUCUGUGGAUCAUUCUGCAUACUGAUUUGAGUUUUGUUCGUUCUAAAAUUUUGCAGAUCUGUCUCAAGAUCCAGAUCUCCUUAUUCAUCUCCUCGACCUUACAGUCGAAGCCAAAGUCCAAGGAGCAUGUAAUAGUCUCACCCGACCCCAGUGAGAUCUGAUGAAUGCAGCCAUUCUGUUGAGUUUGCUUUGGAGACUUGCCAUUGACUCUGUAUUUUUUAUACUACAAUUUUAAUUUGACAAGUGAGACCUAGGAUACAUACCAUUGUAGCUCUAUCUUAUUAUGUACUUGAAUUUUAAAGUUGUCAUGAGGAGUUUAUAUCUGGUAGAUUAUAGCAAAUUGAUAUGAAAUAUUAAACUAUGGAUGGGGUAUGUAUGUUACAUUCUGUCCGAUAUUGGAUUUGGUUAGUUAUUGCC